CAGUCUGCAACUCGACUGCAUGAAGCUGGAAUCGCUAGUAAUCGCGAAUCAGAAUGCUGCGGUGAAUACGUUCCCGGGUCUUGUACACAUCGCCCGUCACACCAUGGGAGUCGGAAAUGCCCGAAGUCGGUGACCCAACCGUUUAUGGAGGGAGCUGCCGAAGGCAGGUCUGGUGACUGGGGUGAAGUCGUAACAAGGUAAC
rnacentral:rRNA from 1 species